rnacentral:rRNA from 1 species
GACGAACGCUGGCGGCGUGCCUAACACAUGCAAGUCGAGCGGGGAUUUAAGUGGAAGUUCUUCGGAAUGGAGAUUUAAAUUCUAGCGGCGGACGGGUGAGUAACGCGUGAACAAUCUGUCCCGGACAGGGGGAUAACACUUGGAAACAGGUGCUAAUACCGCAUAAGACCACGGCCUCGCAUGGGGCUGAGGUAAAAGGAGCAAUCCGGUUCGGGGUGAGUUCGCGUCCGAUUAGCUAGUUGGUGAGGUAACGGCCCACCAAGGCGACGAUCGGUAGCCGGCCUGAGAGGGUGAACGGCCACAUUGGAACUGAGAGACGGUCCAAACUCCUACGGGCGGCAGCAGUGGGGAAUAUUGGGCAAUGGGCGAAAGCCUGACCCAGCAACGCCGCGUGAGGGAAGAAGGUUUUCGGAUUGUAAACCUCUGUCCUAUGGGACGAAGGAAGUGACGGUACCAUAGGAGGAAGCCCCGGCUAACUACGUG